ensembl:lncRNA
GAGAGGGUGUCUGUGGGACCAGGCUGCUGUCGGGCACACAGGCAGAGCAAUGGACUGGGUGAAAAGAAAGGGCUGCUGGGGCGAGAAGAAACCCAGGCUGGAGGGCAAAGAAGCAGGGAGCGAACACCAGCAAAUGCUGCCCAGUGAGGCUCAGGGGCACAGGAGGCAACAGCCCAAAGGCCACCCUCCGAAGCCAAAAAGGAGGAUUGUGGGGCUUCUGGGCACAUUGCACAGAAAUAAAAGACCUCAAGAUGCCGUUCAUCUGACAGAAAUUUCCAAAGGCUUCUCCGAGUUGGUCCAGGAGGGGCAGUUCCUGGAAGCCUACCAGAGCAUCUCGGCGCUGGCGGAGGAAGGGCAGGGCUGCAGCCCCCGGUACGAGGUUUUGGCCCAGAGCAUGUGGCAGGUUGUUCAGCAGGCUCUGGAGGGCACUGGGCCCAGCCAGGAGCUGGAGCGGAAGCUCCAGGCCGUGCUGGCCACUGUGGACUGGACACAGGACAAGGACCAGAGCUGGGAGGCCGGCGCCCUCCAGGACGGCCCGGUUGCCACCUGGGCCGGUCAGCUGCAGAAGCUGCUGAGAAGCGACGCUGAGGCCCGAGUGCCCACCCUGGGCCCCAAGGACGCACUGGACCCAUACCUGGAGAAACUAGACAAGGCUGUGAGACGUGGCCUGGGGUCCCCGCGGGCACGCCUGUUGGGGACACGCCUCUGGGAGGACUACAGCAUGUACUUCCAGGAGGCUCUUCUCAGCCGCCUCUUCGAGCUCACGGACUCCUGCGGCACCAGUCUGAAAAGCCGUCAGGUUCUGUACACCUGGGGCAAGAUGAACUUGUUCAGGCAGCCGGGCAGGAAGACACUCGUGAAAGCACCUCCCACCUCCCAGGAGCCCACGGUCUGGCACCUCUUGGACCCCGUGAUGUUUGUUACCUGGAUGUCCAAAAUGCAGAAGGAGCUGGUGGGGCUGAUCCAGGAAGAGUUGGAAAAGUGUCUGGAAAGAGUCCUGAUCCAUGAUCGGGAAAAGUGGGCCCAGUCUCCCCACCCAACGUUUCUCGAAAUCUUCCAGCUGCUGGAAAAAAGUGCAGAACAACCCAUGGGACCUUCUAUCACCAGCCAGGUGCGAAAGAUGGUUCUGGAAACAUUUUCAAGGUUUCUGGAAAGGUAAGUGAAAAGGUGGUCCUUGCCCAGAGAAGGAGGCAUGGGUGGCUGGGUCCACCGAACCCCAGUUAGAGUGCUGACCAAGCCUCCAACCACUGGCCACCAGGUGCUUGGCCAGUUCCCAAAGCAGGGGAACAUUCUAGCGUUGGCCUUUGGUGCUCCCAGUCUGGCCAGCUUCACCUCCCACCUUGGCUCUGGAAAUGUCCCAUGGCGGCACCGUCUGAUACGGUGACAUCGUCUGACAUGGCGGCUCUGGCCUCAUGUGGCUGUCGAGCUAGUUCCACGGAGGGACCACAGUUAAAUUUUAUUUAAUUGUAAUUCACUGACCGUUAAACACCGCAUGGGGCUGUGGCUCCCGUCCUGGACAGCAGGAGUGGGAUUAGGGGGAAGCCUAGGAGGGGAGUCAUGAACAUGCAGAGUCGAAUUUGGUCCUUAUUUAAAAUUCCAUGUUUUGCUCAUGAUGGAUGUUUUGGACUGACUUUAAUUUUUUUUUAAAGAUUUUAUUUAUUUAUUUAUUUGACAGAUAGAGACAGCCAGCGAGAGAGGGAACACAAGCAGGGGGAGUGGGAGAGGAAGAAGCAGGCUCAUAGCGGAGGAGCCUGAUGUGGGGCUCGAUCCCAUAACGCCGGGAUCACGCCCUGAGCCGAAGGCAGACGCUUAACCGCUGUGCCACCCAGGCGCCCCAACUGAUUUUAAUUUUUAAAAAUAUUUCAUUAAAAUAUUAUCUCAGUUACAGAUCCUGGCCAGGGACCUGGUAGACUGCCUGCCUCCCUGUUUCCUCUGCUUUUCACCGCUGGACCUGAGCCACAAACCCAGCUCUGCCCCAGCCUCAGGGUUUGGGUGGGGACCUGGCCUCUUUCCCGCUAGGCUGGGGCGGGGGUCAGCAUUGUGGGCUCCUCCUGUUUCAGAGGAAGCACUGUGUAGACCACAUCGCUAGGCUCGUCUCUCUGGGGCCUUCAGAGUAUCUGUGUUCACCUGGGACGGGCUCCCUUACAGGCGGACAUGAA